rnacentral:lncRNA from 1 species
CCUUGGCAAGAUAAAGUGCUGUUUCUCGAAUGCAAAUUGUCCAGGUUAUUUGGGGGAAUCACUUUCUGUGAGUUGCUUUAACAUCCAUUCAACUUGCUCAAUUAUCGUGCAUCUUUGGUCAGGAACUAUGAAUGGUGGCUUACUAUCAAGAACAUUUCUAGGCGGCUUUCCAGUUAACAGAUUAAUUAGGCUUAUUGUUCUGUGAACUAUGUUAUUAUUCUAAAAUUCCUACAGGGUUAAAACGUUAUGAUGUUCAAAGAGCAUGAGCAUGUCCUGGAACACUGAGAUCUAUCGCCAUACCUCUUCUUUAAGUUUCUUGCUGGUCACUAUCCCUCUACUAUCUGCUAAAAACUUUCUUGGUGCUUCUUGCGAGAGUCUUGGUAUCUUAAUUCAACUACUUGGGGGACCGGACUCUCUGACUUGAACCUGUGAAUCUCUUGUCCUAUAAAGAAAACUGAAGAAAGGUUGUUGAUUGUGCAAUUUUACCUUUGAGGACUUACUAAUCUUAUCUUAGUAAGCUGAGAUAGGUUUACUAAAGCAGAAAUUGUGCUUAGCCAACCUGUUUCAGCUCAUUGUUGCCAAUAUGGUAACCUAAUUCCGCCUUCCCUUCACUCCCAUAGCGAAUUUGUUUAGCCGCUCUGUCAUUAUAAACUGCUUCUGCUGAAAUUCACAACUUGGAGUCAUUUAGGCAAUCAAAGAUUGACUUUGCAGGAUUAAUUGUGUUAACAAACUUCACUAUAAAGAUUAGCAGUAGAUUCCUUGUCAGAAUUUGAACCGUGUUUCUUGAUCCUGACAUAUACUUGUUAUAUAUUCGAGAUUUAGGAUUACCAGAUUCAGGGGUGGCGCAACGGCAGUUGAAUCAGAGAAAAGCUCCGGUUAUGGUGGCAUGAAAACUUUGUGAAACAGCAAAUGGGUCUCUUGAUACAGAGCACCGAGUCGAAAGAGGCUGAGUUUUGGCGAGUCGGUGAGUUGACUUGGGACAGAUGAUUAAAAAUACGUGAGAUGUGGCUUUUACCACCGGAAUGUUACCGGAUUUAUGCCGGUUUAUCGGAGAUGUGCUUAAGGUUGUAAUGAACGGAUGAAGGCAGGACAGGGUAAAAGAAGAGGAAAUAAGGUCUUGUAUAGUUAAGAUGUUGCUUGAUUGUUUACAUAAGAGAUUGGCCGAAUAUAUAAGCAUACACUAACCAAACUUGGGGACCAAGCUUGUUACUGUAGAAUGUAUUAUUCAAAGUUUCUAACAACGUUUAUUAAUAGACCCGGGGACCAAUUUUGAUCAACUUUGCAGCAAAUUGAUCUGGUCUUUGUUG